AGCAACCAAUAUUACAGUAACCAAUUAAUCAUUACAGUAAUUAAGUUUGCAUUAGUCAGUAACCAAGUCAGCAUUAGUUAGUAACCAAGUCAGCACUAUAAUUUUACAAAGUAACCAAGUCAGCAUUAACAGUUGUAUAAAGGUAACCAAUAUAUAUAAUCAGAUUAACAGUUGUAUAAAGGUAACCAAUGUAGUCAAUAAGUAACCACCAAUAUAAAAGAAACAAUUAUAAACUACAAUAACAUUAUACAGUAACCAAAUAAACACCUUACAGUAUCUAAAUACAUAUUAGUCAGUAACCAAUAUAUAUGGUAAUAUUACUGUUAGCUUAUGGUCUGUAAAGUAACCAACUCAAUGUCAGACAGUAACCAAACUACAU
rnacentral:lncRNA from 1 species